ensembl:lncRNA
GAUUCAGUCAUUCCUUCGUUCCACAGGCCUGCCGUGUGCUCUGCUCUGCGCCAGAUACGGUGAAUCCAAAGGUGAAGAGUCAUCUUGGGGACAAGAAUAAGAUCUCAUUUAUCUUGGUGUAUUAGCCAGCAAAAGGGAGUGGUGCCUUCUGUUAUUCCUGUUGGCUUCUUUUUAAAAAUAAAGCUGAAAGGAGUUCUCAGAAUCUUCAUGUUAUCCUGCUUUCUAAACAGAUAUCUCAGAAGAAAAGACGUGGAGGUCUUAAGGAAGGAAACUACACCGAGUUGCCAGAGGUGACCGAGUCAGACCCACAGGAGGUAGGUCUUUAGGGCACAUCACCUUCACCUGGGGGGGCUUGUUAAACCAUCUGAUUUCCAGCCUCUGCUCUGAGAGAUUCUAAUUCAGAAAGGCUGGGAGAGAGUUCCCGUUGUGUCUCAGUGGUU